GACGAACGCUGGCGGCGUGCUUAACACAUGCAAGUCGAACGGAAAGGCCCUGCUUUUGUGGGGUGCUCGAGUGGCGAACGGGUGAGUAACACGUGAGUAACCUGCCCUUGACUUUGGGAUAACUUCAGGAAACUGGGGCUAAUACCGGAUAGGAGCUCCUGCUGCAUGGUGGGGGUUGGAAAGUUUCGGCGGUUGGGGAUGGACUCGCGGCUUAUCAGCUUGUUGGUGGGGUAGUGGCUUACCAAGGCUUUGACGGGUAGCCGGCCUGAGAGGGUGACCGGCCACAUUGGGACUGAGAUACGGCCCAGACUCCUACGGGAGGCAGCAGUGGGGAAUAUUGCACAAUGGGCGGAAGCCUGAUGCAGCAACGCCGCGUGCGGGAUGGCGGCCUUCGGGUUGUAAACCGCUUUCGCCUGUGACGAAGCGUGAGUGACGGUAAUGGGUAAAGAAGCACCGGCUAACUACGUGCCAGCAGCCGCGGUGAUACGUAGGGUGCGAGCGUUGUCCGGAUUUAUUGGGCGUAAAGGGCUCGUAGGUGGUUGAUCGCGUCGGAAGUGUAAUCUUGGGGCUUAACCCUGAGCGUGCUUUCGAUACGGGUUGACUUGAGGAAGGUAGGGGAGAAUGGAAUUCCUGGUGGAGCGGUGGAAUGCGCAGAUAUCAGGAGGAACACCAGUGGCGAAGGCGGUUCUCUGGGCCUUUCCUGACGCUGAGGAGCGAAAGCGUGGGGAGCGAACAGGCUUAGAUACCCUGGUAGUCCACGCUGUAAACGGUGGGUACUAGGUGUGGGGUCCAUUCCACGGGUUCCGUGCCGUAGCUAACGCUUUAAGUACCCCGCCUGGGGAGUACGGCCGCAAGGCUAAAACUCAAAGGAAUUGACGGGGCCCCGCACAAGCGGCGGAGCAUGCGGAUUAAUUCGAUGCAACGCGUAGAACCUUACCUGGGUUUGACAUGGAUCGGGAGCGCUCAGAGAUGGGUGUGCCUCUUUUGGGGUCGGUUCACAGGUGGUGCAUGGCUGUCGUCAGCUCGUGUCGUGAGAUGUUGGGUUAAGUCCCGCAGCGAGCGCAACCCUUGUUCACUGUUGCCAGCACGUUAUGGUGGGGACUCAGUGGAGACCGCCGGGGUCAACUCGGAGGAAGGUGGGGAUGACGUCAAGUCAUCAUGCCCCUUAUGUCCAGGCUUCACCCAUGCUACAAUGGCUGGUACAAAGAAUGCCAGCCCUGUAAGGUGAGCGAAUCUCGGAAAGCCGGCCUCAUUUCGGAUUGGGGCUGCCACUCAACCUCUGAAAUCGGAAUCCCUAUAAUCCCCAAAUACCAACCCUGGGGGGAAUACUUUCCCGGGGCU
rnacentral:rRNA from 1 species